CAGUAGAAAACAGAUGAAUACACCUAGAUUUCUUCCUGCGUGAAUCCAGUUGAGGGGAAGGUAUAAAAUUUUCAAAUGGAGGAGUAUACCUGAACCUAAUCAUGGAUGUGAUUUUAUGUAAGUAAUAUGUGAGAUACAGAUAAGCUGAUUCUAAAACUUACAAGAAUGGCAAAGAAACAAGAAGAGCUUAAACUGCAAUCAUCAACAGAGAAGCUUUCUGCAACCAAAGUGAAGACUGAAGCCUUAGGCUAUGGCAGAAGUUGGGCGCCUGAAGUACACGUGGAAAUAUGCCAACUGAACAUUGGACUACCACGUCAAGGGUCUCCUACCCCUGGGCCAUGGAUCAAUACCAGUCUGUGACCUGUUAGGAACCGGUAGCAGGAGCGCCUGCCCCUGGCUCAGCGCCCGGUGCCAACAGAACACCUUUCAGGAUCCACAGCAACGCAGACAACGGAACUCACAAGGGCUUCGGUUCUCAAGAGGCCAUCAAAACAUAACUGCUGCCGAGACAAUACCUUUCCUUCCCCUCACUACAUUCACUGAAUGUUCUGGAUCAGUGCGUCUCACACCUUUGGAUCUUAUAAGCUACUUGGAAAAAUUUUAAAGCACCUGAUGGAUUUGGAAAAUAUUUAAUGAAGACAAUGAUGCUGACAUCUCAAGUUAAAAG
rnacentral:lncRNA from 10 species